rnacentral:rRNA from 1 species
GAUGAACGCUGGCGGCGUGCCUAAUACAUGCAAGUCGAGCGAACAGACGAGGAGCUUGCUCCUCUGACGUUAGCGGCGGACGGGUGAGUAACACGUGGAUAACCUACCUAUAAAACUGGGAUAACUUCGGGAAACCGGAGCUAAUACCGGAUAAUAUAUUGAACCGCAUGGUUCAAUAGUGAAAGACGGUUUUGCUGUCACUUAUAGAUGGAUCCGCGCCGCAUUAGCUAGUUGGUAAGGUAACGGCUUACCAAGGCAACGAUGCGUAGCCGACCUGAGGGGGUGAUCGGCCACACUGGAACUGAGACACGGUCCAGACUCCUACGGGAGGCAGCAGUAGGGAAUCUUCCGCAAUGGGCGAAAGCUUGACGGAGCAACGCCGCGUGAGUGAUGAAGGUCUUCGGAUCGUAAAACUCUGUUAUUAGGGAAGAACAAAUGUGUAAGUAACUAUGCACGUCUUGACGGUACCUAAUCAGAAAGCCACGGCUAACUACGUG